UUAGUUACUCAUAAUCUUGAAGAAUGAAACCAAUUCAGCAAACGAAAACAUUGAAACUAGAUUUACAAAUGAGAAUCUGAAAAAUCUAAUUUCACCAAAGAACUCCAAAGAACGCGAUUCACCAAUCUUGAUUAACUCUUCCGAUCCGAGCUCCUUGAAGUCAAUGUUUUCUCGUCUCUCAAAAUUCUUUAUUCUCUGCUCUCGGUUUCAUCCAAAAGGGUGUGUGUUUCAAAUGAAGAAGGACCGGUCUUUAAAUAGGUGAGGGAACCGAAUUGAUGUUGUUGGCGUAAUAUGCGCUGCACAUUAUGACAAACCUUAGGUGCAUAUUAUGCCCAAAAUUUAGAAACCUUCGUUCUCAUCAAUGUAAUAUGCGCUGAAGAUUAGUCUAAUGUCCGCUAAAGACUAGUCUAAUGUGCGCCUCAGAUUAUGACCAUCUUGGGCGCAUAUUACACCCAGUCUAGCACUCAUUGAAUUCUUCAUCUUUUUGAUGCCUCUAGCUCAUCUAAGAACGUUGUAUUGCUCCGAAUAAUAUCUUGAUGUCAUCAUGUACCUGAAAUCUAGCAAAACACUCGAAAAUGACAUCAAAUGGACCCCGAGAGGGUCCUAGACACUAAACCGAGAUAGAAGCUUAAAAUGUAAGAAACACUAUAAACUUCUACUUAAAGCUAUACCAACAUGCAUGAAAUGUCUCUAAAAUAAGGCAAUGAACGCGUUGAAUCGAACAUCAUCAAAUAACCCCACACUUAAGCUUUGCUUGUCCUCAAGCAAAAAGCUCAUAACAACCAUGGAAAACAUCUAUAAACGAUUCAAAAUACGUAACAUUAUCUUAACGAAUCCAUAUUCCUCAAGGUACCCCUAAAUUAGUUAACAAGCAAGAAAACCUUUAAGCAUAACCAAUCUAGGAAGUACAACCCUCACAAGAAGUUCCUCAACUUGCCAUACAUGAUCAUGCAUAUUAUACCACCCAUCUAGACUUUCUCUCAACAGGCAGGACUUAAGGAUGUGUUUAGGGACACUAUUUAUGCACUCAUUCAUCAGCUCUG
rnacentral:lncRNA from 1 species